ACGACCUUACUUCAAUAGAAUAUGUUCUAUAGGUUGUAAAAAUGUGUCAUUGAAUUCUAAGGAGCCAAGAACCGAAGUCUGGUGGAUGAACCACUGCUCCGUGGCUAGAGUGUGAGAUUAAUGGCUCAACAGGCUUCGAUCCUGCAGUUUAGAGGAUCGUUCUUGGUAGAGUCUAUCUACUGGGUUGGUUGCAAGGCGGUCUGACAGACU